GCGUAUUGUUAUGCGUUUACUUUUCUACAUUGGCUAGAGGUAUAGGGAGGGUUGAGAUCUCACAAACAUGUUUAACCCCGCCGCAUUUUUGCGCCUGUCCCAAGUCAGGAGCCUCUGGCCUUUGUUAGUCUUGUAUUAUUUUAAUUUUAGUUUCUUGUGUACAAUUUGGAAAUUAGUAUGGCGUUCAUUAUCACUGAACUAGUAUAUAUUUGUUUAGGG
rnacentral:lncRNA from 1 species